rnacentral:rRNA from 1 species
GAUGAACGCUGGCGGCGUGCCUAAUACAUGCAAGUCGAGCGAAUGGAUUAAGAGCUUGCUCUUAUGAAGUUAGCGGCGGACGGGUGAGUAACACGUGGGUAACCUGCCCAUAAGACUGGGAUAACUCCGGGAAACCGGGGCUAAUACCGGAUAAUAUUUUGAACUGCAUGGUUCAAAAUUGAAAGGCGGCUUCGGCUGUCACUUAUGGAUCGACCCGCGUCGCAUUAGCUAGUUGGUGAGGUAACGGCUUACCAAGGCAACGAUGCGUAGCCGACCUGAGAGGGUGAUCGGCCACACUGGGACUGAGACACGGCCCAGACUCCUACGGGAGGCAGCAGUAGGGAAUCUUCCGCAAUGGACGAAAGUCUGACGGAGCAACGCCGCGUGAGUGAUGAGGGCUUUCGGGUCGUAAAACUCUGUUGUUAGGGAAGAACAAGUGCUAGUUGAAUAAGCUGGCACCUUGACGGUACCUAACCAGAAAGCCACGGCUAACUACGUGCCAGCCGCCGCAGUAA